UUAGUCCUGGCUUCCUUUUCUCACUGUAUUAUUCUGUAAGAAAUGGGGAAGUUAUUAUUGGAAUCUGGAGAGGGGGCAAAGAAAAGAAGAGCGAAAGAAGUGGGGAAGAGAAAGAUGAAAGAGGAGAUGGGAGAAUGAAGGAGGCAGAAGGUAGAAAACGGGAUUUAGACAAAAUAGAGUGGGAGGGAGGCAGUAAAGAGGAGAAGACAAAAGGGAGCUCGCAGGAAAAAGGCAGGAGGAGAUGACAAGAAGCGAACAGAGAAGCAGCAGGAGGCCAAGUUGAGCACUCGGAUGGUGCCGGACACACAGGAGCCCUCAGCCCGGACACCUUCCAGCAGCACGCACUGGGCCAGGAGGCGCGGUGAGAAAUCAGGCAUGGACACCGGGUCUGGGAAAGUGGGUUCCAACAGGCAGCGGAGGCUGAAAGGUUCCUGGGGAGACAAGGGGAGACACGAGGAUUAGAGAAAGCAGCACGGGAAGGAAAAAUGAUGUAUUUUUAUGGCGCUCUAUGACUGUAAUAAAGGAUGAUGAUGAUGAAGACGAGAAAGGAGAAACACAUAAUGAAAGAACAAUAGAUUUGGGAAAGAAAAGAGAGAUUGACCAAAGAAAUAUGUGGGCAAAGAUAUACCUGGAGACAGAGGAAAGUAACUUGCCUAGGGAGCCAGAGGUUGCUGGUUUGAAUCCUUGCUGGUAUGUUUCCCGGACUAUGGGAAACACCUAUAUUGGGCAACAGCAAUAGAGGAAGAUGCUGAAAGGCAUCAUCUCACACUGCGCAGGAGGAGGCAAUGGUAAACCCCUCCUGUAUUCUACCAAAGACAACCACAGGGCUCUGUGGGCGCCAGGAGUCAACCCCAACUCAACAGCACAACUUUACUUUAGAGACAGAAAUGGUGAAAUAAAAAAUAAAAGUUGUAAGAAAGAGGAAGAAAAGGAGAAAAAUAUAUGCGACACAGCUGGAAAGAAGAGACUACAGAAAACAGAAGGAACUGGGAGAAGAAGGGAAUGAAGGACUCGGGAUGAGAAGAGAUAGAAUGAAGAGAGAAGGAUUGAAUGAAAAAGGGAUGAUGAAGCGGAGGAACUGGAAUGAGAAAGAUGGAUCUGAGAAGAGUAGUCAAGACAAGGAGGAAAAGAAGAAAAUGGAUGGAAAGAUCAGCUCAGGUAUCCUGGUUCGCCAGAAGAGAAGAAAGGAGUGAGAACGUGGGAAGGAUGCAGAACUAAAAUGGAAGAGUGCAGCAAAGAGAUGAGAAAGGAAGUGAUGGAGACAAGGACAAAAAGGUAGUCUCAAAGGGGCUAACAAUACCAGUCACAAACAAGGUACCAUAGGAUAUCUUUAGCCUGUCUUGGAAAAGAGGGGGCUUUUUUGUUUGUUUUUUGAAUGAAUAAAGAGAGUGAGUACUAUA